CAUCUCCCAACUAAUCCCUUCUUUCCCAGGCUAGACUGACAGAUGUCCUUUGUCCAGCACCUCCCCUGUGCCAUUUUGACUCUUAUGGUGCAUAUGCCUGCCUUCCCCUGGUCCCACCCCCAAUCUGGUAUGGGGUAUGGGAGAGAUUU